ensembl:misc_RNA Metazoa_SRP Metazoan signal recognition particle RNA
GGGCAUGGUGGUGCGUGCCUGUAAUCCCAGCUGCUAGGAAGACUGAGGCAGGAGGAUCCCUUGGGCCCAGGAGUUCAAGGCUGCAGUGAGCUAUGAUGGCACCACUGCACUCUAGCCUGGGUGACAAAGCGGGACCCUGUGUUUU